rnacentral:lncRNA from 1 species
CUGGGAGGAGGGCUAGGUGACAAGUCAGCGAUACUUGCAAGGUCAACAAACUCUCUAUCCAAAGGAUCAGAGCUUUUAAAAAGUAGGACUAUGCAUGCAAUGGCACUUCCUAAUCCUACUCGAAGGUGACAUACAUCGCUAGCCUUUGAAGGCAGGCUUCAACUAAGUCUGACUAGCUUGAGUUCUCACCUUGCCCACUGCAUUUUGCUCGGGAGUUGGCAAUCCGACCCCAUCCGCUAAGUCUGUUAACCCCCUCACCUCGCAUUAAUUAAGAAGAAAAGAGAGGUAGAGUUUUUAAGAAAAGAAGUGAGUUAUUUGCUUGACCCGGGAUAUAGAGCGAAGUGCUCCAAUGUGCAUAUUUGGAGCUACGCAGAUGCCAUAGUCAUGGAAGCUGGAUCAACAUCAUGACAAUGACAUAGGCUCCAAAGUAGAAGCCCUCCAAUGGUGAUCCACACAGGACUGAUCAGAACCCUUUUUAAUUCGUCAUGGUGCUGCAGCCUUCUUCGCAAGUUCGCUGCCGAUCGUCCUUCGCA